rnacentral:rRNA from 1 species
ACGACCGUACCGCAAACCGACACUGGUGCGCGAGAUGAGUAUUCUAAGGCGCUUGAGAGAACUCUGGAGAAGGAACUCGGCAAAUUGACACCGUAACUUCGGAAGAAGGUGUGCCUUUAGUAGGUGAACCAUUUACUUGGGGAGCCCAAUGAGGCCGCAGAGAAUCGGUGGCUGCAACUGUUUAUUAAAAACACAGCACUCUGCAAAGACGAAAGUCGACGUAUAGGGUGUGACUCCUGCCCGGUGCUGGAAGAUUAAAUGAUGGGGUGCAAGCUCUUGACUGAAGUCCCAGUAAACGGCGGCCGUAACUAUAACGGUCCUAAGGUAGCGAAAUUCCUUGUCGGGUAAGUUCCGACCUGCACGAAUGGAGUAAUGAUGGCCACACUGUCUCCUCCAGAGACUCAGCGAAGUUGAAAUGUUUGUGAUGAUGCAAUCUCCCCGCGGAAAGACGGAAAGACCCCAUGAACCUUUACUGUAGCUUUACAUUGGACUUUGAACAGAUCUGUGUAGGAUAGGUGGGAGGCUUUGAAGUAAGGUCGCUAGAUCUUAUGGAGCCAACGUUGAAAUACCACCCUGGUGUGUUUGAGGUUCUAACCUUGUCCCGUUAUCCGGGUCGGGGACAGUGUAUGGUGGGCAGUUUGACUGGGGCGGUCUCCUCCCAAAGUGUAACGGAGGAGUUCGAAGGUACGCUAGUUACGGUCGGAAAUCGUGACGAUAGUGCAUUGGCAUAAGCGUGCUUGACUGCGAGACUGACAAGUCGAGCAGGUACGAAAGUAGGACAAAGUGAUCCGGUGGUUCUGUAUGGAAGGGCCAUCGCUCAACGGAUAAAAGGUACUCUGGGGAUAACAGGCUGAUACCGCCCAAGAGUUCAUAUCGACGGCGGUGUUUGGCACCUCGAUGUCGGCUCAUCUCAUCCUGGGGCUGUAGCCGGUCCCAAGGGUAUGGCUGUUCGCCAUUUAAAGAGGUACGUGAGCUGGGUUUAAAACGUCGUGAGACAGUUUGGUCCCUAUCUUCCGUGGGCGCUGCA